UCUCUCUCUCUAUCUCUCCCCUUUUCUCUUUCUCUCCUCUUUCUUUUUUCAAAACAGAUAAAUCCUUUCAAAAUCACGACUUCCAUAUAAUCUGCUUGCCUCUGCCGUGGAUUAACAUCGUGUUUUGUUCGUUCUGGGGAUGCUCUCUUCAAGAUCCGGUGGACAAAAUAUGCUCAGAUUAAGGCUGAGUAUGAUAUUUCUCAACAAAAUGCGUCAGCAAGCCUGCAAGUGGAGAAAAUUGUUUCAUGUUAUUGAUGGACAAGUAUCGUCAUUCUCGCGAAUAUUGUCCACUAAGAAAGCGAAAGACAUAACUAUGGUGGACAAGUUUUGUAAACUUGUCCAUCCAAGCGGAUAUGUUUUACUAAGUCUGAAGGACAUAAAUGUGGUGGACAAAAAACUUGUUCAAGAGAGCGAAGGACAUAACUAUAGUGGACAAGUUUUGUAAACUUGUCCACCCAAGUGGAUACAAACAAAUUUGAAAUGGACUAAACCUGACUGAACGUUGGAUCUGGUCCACUAGAAGUUCAUCACAUAUGUGUUUUGUGCCACAAAAUUGUCCCUGUUUCAAAACACACAUCACUCAUCCCAAUUUUUUUCAAUCUUUUAUUUUUUUAAUUUAAGGAUAGAAAUAUCUUUUUCUCUUAUGCCAUAAACUUAGAAAAUGGCAUUUCUGAAAAGGAAAAACUAAAAUGACAUUUCUCACAACUUUCAUUUCAA